rnacentral:rRNA from 1 species
GACGAGUUUGAUCCUGGCUCAGAACGAACGCUGGCGGCAGGCUUAACACAUGCAAGUCGAGCGCCCCGCAAGGGGAGCGGCAGACGGGUGAGUAACGCGUGGGAAUCUACCCCAUCCCUACGGAACAACUCCGGGAAACUGGAGCUAAUACCGUAUACGCCCUUUGGGGGAAAGAUUUAUCGGGGAUGGAUGAGCCCGCGUUGGAUUAGCUAGUUGGUGGGGUAAUGGCCUACCAAGGCAACGAUCCAUAGCUGGUCUGAGAGGAUGAUCAGCCACACUGGGACUGAGACACGGCCCAGACUCCUACGGGAGGCAGCAGUGGGGAAUAUUGGACAAUGGGCGCAAGCCUGAUCCAGCCAUGCCGCGUGAGUGAUGACGGCCCUAGGGUUGUAAAGCUCUUUCACCGGUGAAGAUAAUGACGGUAACCGGAGAAGAAGCCCCGGCUAACUUCGUG